rnacentral:snoRNA from 1 species
GUGCCUCAAGCACCCGGGCUGGUCUAGUCGAUUGCCAAUCCCGGGAUAUCCGCAUAGCGGAGGGCACCAUACCGAACAACCAUUCAGUAGAUUAUCCCACGGCUGCUCUUAUUUAACCGGCCUUCGGACAUGAGCCUGGACGGAUAUCA